AACAACACUGUUGAUGCAAAUGGGUAAUAGCUUCCCGAGUGCUUAUGGGCGGUGUUGUAAGGGCUUUCCACAUGUUAAUUACCUUAACCCUCCCCCCAGCCCACGGGGCCUGGAUAGUGGCACUGCUGUUAAUAGAUUAAAAAACAGGUGCAGCGAGGUUAAGUAGCUGGUCUAAGGUCACACAGCCCGUGAAAGGCAGAGCUGAGAGAGGAAACGAGGUCCCCGUCAUGGCAGCCCGCUGACCAAGGGCUCUACCUUCGCCGUGCUGCCACCACCUGAAGGGUCUCAGCAGCUCUCCCUCUGCAGAGUGACCGUCCGAGUGGUCCUGCCCUCCCAGCCGUCCACCCCGGCCGUGGGCACAGAGGCCCUCUCCUGUCUGCCUCUUGACCCUCAGGAAGCAUCUGCGCCACCAGCACCUUGUCCGGCUGUGCAAGGAGCUGAGAGGAGCUGGGAGACGGCUCCGUGUAGAAUGUGGGACCCUCUCCAGGCUCAGCUCGCGGUGGCCUCAGUGCAUCUAUCAAACACCUGCCGCCAUCCUGAGGUUCUCCAUUACGGGAAUCACAAAAUCACCCAUGGGCAGCGCACACAUUAUAACCCUGGAAGUGGUCUUCCUGGAAGUCUCAAGGUGAAGCGUCUGAGAUGAGGCUUGAUGCACGAAGUACAGAUGUUUACUUCAAAUGUUAGUGAAAGAGGGAAAGCGCGAGGCAUGUUUUCUUUAGGAAAAGCAUUCUGGCGGGGCUGCGUGUCUGGCGGGGCUGGUACAAAGCGCCGGUUCUGCAGUAGCUCCCACGUGGCGGGUUGGGUGGACGUAGUGAGCGCAGACCCUGGUGUCCUCCUCUGUCCCAAGGGGAUGCAGCAGGAGGCCUCUGGAUUCUGAGUCUGAGAGGGGGCACGUGGGAAGGGCACAGACAUGACCCCCAGUGAGUGACAGCCCAGAACCCCCCGGGGACGCAGCACGUGUGUUCACUGCUUCUCGAUGGCAGUGUUGCCUCUUCCAAUGUGACUUUCGUGGUGGGAAGUGGAGAAACCGAGUGAUCAACUGCUUUGAAAUCAAGGAGCUACUUGAACGACUCGAGACAUUGUUAGAAGGAGAAAGACCUCGUAGGUGUUUUGUUUAACGGAAGGGGAGACCAGAGGAUGUGGAGAGAACUUCGCACCCUUCACUUUUAGGCAGGGCAGGGCCGCUAGGCCCAGGCUGCGUCCAUUCUGUGCCAUCUUGUGGCAGGAUGCUGAGAGGGUGUGGCGAGCCCAGGGUGACCGCUUCCUCCUGGGAAUCACUGCCAUCAGGCCACAAGCAGCCACGGGUGGCUGCAACCUCGGGCCACGUGCUGUGGCUGCCCUCUGCUGCUGCAGAUGCCUGGCCACAGCCCCGCAGUGGACACGCUUCUGGACAAGGUCUUGGGGCAGCAGCAAACGUCCAUCUCAAAGUGAGACCAUGAGAUGGGCAUGGCUGCGUCCGCAUCCUCAGCUGCCUGGCUUUAUCUGCCCCUUGACCAGAGCCUUCCCAUCCUCCCAGCCACAGGUCCACCCAUGGCAGCUGCCAGAGAAGGUGAAGGGGGCCCCAACCCGUCAGGGAGCCAGGCUGCAAGCAGGUAGAUGCCAGGGUGUGUGAUCACAUGUGUGUGUAUGUGUGUGCGUGGUGUGUGUGUGCGAUGCAGAUCAGGGAGGAGGGCUCCUACAUCUCGAAGUUGCUUCUCCUCCCUGCUUGUGUGCAGCGUGGGCCGCAGGCCUUGCGGUCCUGGGUGGAGGAGAAUGGUGCCUCAGGUCCUAGCUCAGGAUGGGAAGCAGUUGCCCCGCCCCCUCUCCUUUCCUCCCUCAGGGCAUGUCCGUUCCCCUGUGAGCCUGUGAGCUUUGGAGGAACAGGGCCCCAUCAGUGAUUUGGGAGGGAUGCUCCUGCGUCCUAGCUGGGGAGUGGUGGGCAUCCCCUUCGGGUGGAGGGCUGUGGUCGAGGCCGCCUGCCCCCGAGAGCAG